GCCGCUGCGGCUGCUCUCUUUCGUCCCACAAUGGCGGCUGCGACGCUCCGCUCUGUACUCCGCCGCAAUCGCCUCCUGACCUUGUUCGAAACCUGCCACCUUCGAGAUCGCCUCUUCUUCUCCUCCUCUGUCAACGCUGCCGCCGUCACCGUAGGCGGCACCAUAUCUCCAGAUCCCCACUUCAUGGUGGAAUACCUCGUGAAUUCCUGCGGGUUCUCCCCCUCCGAGGCAGCCAAGUUCUCUAAACCCCUUGCGCACCUCCGAUCCACCGAGAAACCCGACGCCGUUCUUAACUUCAUGAGAUCUCAGGGCUUCGAUGGUGCCGGUAUCAGGAAGGUGAUAUCUUGGAAACCCAAUUACCUAUGCUACAACGUGGAGAAGAACCUCGCCCCGAAGUUUCAGUUCUUACGCGAUUUGGGCCUAUCGGAGUCGGAUAUCGUCGAUGCCAUCCUGAAGAACCAUGGCAUCCUCCUCUUCAACGCUCAGCGUUCCAUCGUCCCCAGAUUGGAGAUGUGGGAAAGUCUCUUGGGAUCGAGAGAGCUCGUUCUCAAGCAUCUCAAGAAGACAAUGCGGUUUUUCCACUCCAGCGUUGAGAAGACAUUGCAUCCUAACCAAAAGUUCUUGAGGGAUGAGUGCGGCAUUCCUGAAGAAAGGCUCUCUGUCGUCUUGAGAAGUCACCCACAAUUAAUCUCACAUAAACCAGAGUCUCUCCGAGCUUUGGUGGCGAGAGCCGAUGAGCUGGGGAUGCCACGGCAAUCUCGGAUGUUCAUUUGGACACUUAAUAUUCUCCAGAGGGUAAGCAAAGAAAGGUUCGAGGCCAAGGGCGAGUUCAUGAGGAGGUUCGGGUGGUCGGAGUCGGAGUUUUCUUCUGCUGUCAGGAAAGCACCCAACUUCAUAGGCAUGUCCCUCGAUAUGUUGCGCAGAAAAGUGGAAUUUUUUAUCAAUGUGGUCGGUUGCACCCCUUCCUUCAUCGCCGACAAAUCAUAUCUCUUGCUAUUUAGUCUGCAGAAGAGGGUAAUUCCUCGGUUUCGUGUCACAGAGAUGUUGAAAUCGAAAGGAUUGUUGACUGGACAAGCCAAGUUUCCAUACAUUCUCGCAUUAUCAGAUACCAAAUUCUUGGAGAAGUUUGUUCUCCCUCACAAAGAAAAUGUUCCUGAGCUGCUCGAUAUUUUGAGAGUUGAGGGCGUGUGUAAAGGAAAAUGAUACCUUUCAUUUGGUAUCGGAGGCUGAGAAAGGCCUUAGCUGAUGGUUUAAUUUGCCAACGACGAAGGUAGAUUGUCCCCUAAUUUGAGAUUUUGGAAAUAGAAUGCAAAGGGCUUAUCAAAAGGUGUACUGAGUAUGCAGUGGCUUCGAUGGAGUUUGAAAGAGCAGUUGCAUUGGGUUGAUCAGGAGUCACCAGCAUUAGUACUAUCUUUGCUUCAAGGUUGUAUGGACUUAAGCAUCAGAACUUGGGUAUGCUAUCAUGAAAUGUCUUCAGCCUCAUUUGGAAUUGCAAAAGCUUUUCCUGCAUCAACAAAUUCUGACUUGCCUCCGGUGGCUUCAGCUCAUCCACCCUUUGUGAUUUGGUUAGCAGAUCUCUUCAUUCUUGGAGUCUGUGGUCUAUGUUUCCCUCGUCAUGAAUGGCUUGGCCCAAUGGAAAGUCAAUUUAGGCAGAA